rnacentral:rRNA from 1 species
CAAUAGCGUAUAUUUAAGUUGUUGCAGUUAAAAAGCUCGUAGUUGGAUUUCGGAUGGGAUUUGCCGGUCCGUCGUUACGAUGUGCACUGGCCAGUCCUAUCUUGUUGUCGGGGACUAGCUCCUUGGAUUCACUUCCUGGGACUAGGAGCUGACGAGGUUACUUUGAGUAAAUUAGAGUAUUCGAAGCAAGCCUACGCUCUGAAUACAUUAGCAUGGAAUAACACGAUAGGACUCUGGCUUAUCUUGUUGGUCUGUGAGACCAGAGUAAUGAUUAAGAGGGACAGUCGGGGACAUUCGUAUUUCAUUGUCAGAGGUGAAAUUCUUGGAUUUAUGAAAGACGAACUUCUGCGAAAGCAUUUGUCAAGGAUGUUCUCAUUAA